ACUCAAAUGAAUUGACGGGGACCCGCACAAGCAGUGGAGUAUGUUGUUUAAUUCGACGCAACGCGAAGAACCUUACCAGGGUUUGACAUCCUUGGAAUCGGGCAGAGAUGCCUGAGUGCCCUUCGGGGAACCAAGAGACAGGUGGUGCAUGGUUGUCGUCAGCUCGUGUCGUGAGAUGUUGGGUUAAGUCCCGCAACGAGCGCAACCCUUAUGGUUAGUUGCUACGCAAGAGCACUCUAGCCAGACUGCCGUUGACAAAACGGAGGAAGGUGGGGACGACGUCAAAUCAUCAUGCCCUUUAUAUCCUGGGCUACAAACGUACUACAAUGGCGGUCAUACAGAGGGAGGCAAAGCAGUGAUGUGGAGCGAAUCCCUAAAAGCCGCCUCAGUUCAGAUUGCAGGCUGCAACCCGCCUGCAUGAAGUCGGAAUUGCUAGUAAUCGCGGAUCAGCAUGCCGCGGUGAAUACGUUCCCGGGUCUUGCACACACCGCCCGU
rnacentral:rRNA from 1 species